AUUGAACGCUGGCGGCAUGCCUUACACUUGCAAGUCGUACGGUAACAGGUUAAGCUGACGAGUGGCGAACGGGUGAGUAAUAUAUCGGAACGUGCCCAGUCGUGGGGGAUAACUGCUCGAAAGAGCAGCUAAUACCGCAUACGACCUGAGGGUGAAAGCGGGGGAUCGCAAGACCUCGCGCGAUUGGAGCGGCCGAUAUCAGAUUAGGUAGUUGGUGGGGUAAGAGCCCACCAAGCCAACGAUCUGUAGCUGGUCUGAGAGGACGACCAGCCACGCUGGGACUGAGACACGGCCCAGACUCCUACGGGAGGCAGCAGUGGGGAAUUUUGGACAAUGGGCGCAAGCCUGAUCCAGCCAUGCCGCGUGCGGGAAGAAGGCCUUCGGGUUGUAAACCGCUUUUGUCAGGGAAGAAAAGGUUCUGGUUAAUACCUGGGACUCAUGACGGUACCUGAAGAAUAAGCACCGGCUAACUACGUGCCAGCAGCCGCCGUAA
rnacentral:rRNA from 1 species